GGACUGUGGCUCAGUGGUAGAGCACUCGCCUAACAUGUGUGAGGCACUGGGUUCGAUUCUCAGCACCA
rnacentral:tRNA from 1 species